UUUUAUUUAAACGUGUCAUUUAAUGCGUAUUAUGAUUUAUAUGCAUUAUUCAUACACAUAUCAAUGUAUGUGUAUUUAAAUGAAUAUAGAAUUUAUACCUCGUUGACAAAUUAAAUUUACAAUAUUGAAAUAAGGGUGUCACGAUCAGGUACACGCAUCACGUUCGAUCGUCGACGAUCUUUCUAUAUAUAAAAUAUAUCGAUACCAAACGAUAUUACAUUUGUUAAAAGGCAUAUACGUAUUACGUACAUACGCGUACACGUGCAUACAGAAAAAUUAAGAAAAAAAUAGCAAAACAGAGCGAGGAAGAGAGAGAGAGAGAGAGAGAGAGAUGAAAGUA